CGGGCGACCGGCGCACGGUGAGUAACGCGUAUGCAACUUACCUAUCAGGAGGGGAGUAACCCGGCGAAAGUCGGACUAAUACCGCAUGAAGCAGGGGCCCCGCAUGGGGAUAUUUGCUAAAGAUUCAUCGCUGAUAGAUAGGCAUGCGUUCCAUUAGGCAGUUGGCGGGGUAACGGCCCACCAAACCGACGAUGGAUAGGGGUUCUGAGAGGAAGGUCCCCCACAUUGGUACUGAGACACGGACCAAACUCCUACGGGAGGCAGCAG
rnacentral:rRNA from 1 species